AAGAUUAGCCUGCGUCCGAUUAGCUAGUUGGUGGGGUAAGGGCCUACCAAGGCGACGAUCGGUAGCUGGUCUGAGAGGAUGACCAGCCACACUGGAACUGAGACACGGUCCAGACUCCUACGGGAGGCAGCAGUGGGGAAUAUUGGACAAUGGGGGCAACCCUGAUCCAGCAAUGCCGCGUGUGUGAAGAAGGCCUGAGGGUUGUAAAGCACUUUCAGUGGGGAGGAGGGUUGAUAGGUUAAGAGCUGAUUAACUGGACGUUACCCACAGAAGAAGCACCGGCUAACUCCGUGCCAGCAGCCGCGGUAAUACGGAGGGUGCGAGCGUUAAUCGGAAUUACUGGGCGUAAAGGGUGCGUAGGUGGUUGAUUAAGUUAUCUGUGAAAUUCCUGGGCUUAACCUGGGACGGUCAGAUAAUACUGGUUGACUCGAGUAUGGGAGAGGGUAGUGGAAUUUCCGGUGUAGCGGUGAAAUGCGUAGAGAUCGGAAGGAACACCAGUGGCGAAGGCGGCUACCUGGCCUAAUACUGACACUGAGGCACGAAAGCGUGGGGAGCAAACAGGAUUAGAUACCCUGGUAGUCCACGCUGUAAACGAUGUCAACUAGCUGUUGGUUAUAUGAAAAUAAUUAGUGGCGCAGCAAACGCGAUAAGUUGAC
rnacentral:rRNA from 1 species